rnacentral:rRNA from 1 species
UGGGGAAUAUUGGACAAUGGGCGCAAGCCUGAUCCAGCAAUGCCGCGUGAAGGAUGAAGUAUUUCGGUAUGUAAACUUCGAAAGAAUAGGAAGAAUAAAUGACGGUACUAUUUAUAAGGUCCGGCUAACUACGUGCCAGCAGCCGCGGUAAUACGUAGGGACCAAGCGUUGUUCGGAUUUACUGGGCGUAAAGGGCGCGUAGGCGGCAAUUCAAGUCAUCUGUGAAAUCUCCGGGCUUAACUCGGAACGGUCAGAUGAUACUGCUUUGCUAGAGUGCAGAAGGGGCAAUCGGAAUUCUUGGUGUAGCGGUGAAAUGCGUAGAUAUCAAGAGGAACACCUGAGGUGAAGACGGGUUGCUGGGCUGACACUGACGCUGAGGCGCGAAAGCCAGGGGAGCAAGCGGGAUUAGAUACCCAUGUAGUCCCUGAGCGGGCUGGCAAGGCGCAU